GAAACAGCAUGCAGGUGUGAAGAAUCAGUUGUCAGAGAUAAGACCCAGGUGAAAGACUUAAAUAACAGCUGACAUCAUAUUAAGAUGGGAAGUGAGGGAAGAUUUUAGAUCUAAAUCUUUAGAUUUAGCAAAGGUGUUGCCUCUGGAGCUAAGAAUGGUGUCUAUUCUCCUUUGAGUUGAUUCUUACUUACAUAACCUGGUGCUGUGAGUGUGACUGCAUGAUCAGGCUGCAAGGCAAAGUGACUAAGUCCUCUUCUGCUCAUUUUGGAAUUGAGAGUUCAAGCCACUUGUCACUUCCAACCUACUGGGUUGCUUCUCAGCUCUUGAACUGUACCUAGAGAUUCAUAGUUCUUCAAGAGAAGAAUCUCUGGAUGCACGUGUUUGUUAUGACAGUGUCUUCUAAACAAAGGCAAAGGGCCUCCCUAAAGCCUUGGUCUCCAUGUCCUGAGGAGCACUGGCUGAAAUGCAUUUGAACUUAUGGUGGGGCAUGUGUUUGUGCUCUCAGGAGGAAAUGAACUUUGCUUUGAAGUGAUGUUACUGGUGCCAAGUACAACAUCAACAGAGCAAAUGUAAAAAGUCUCACUGAUAUCUCUUUCUAGUCCUGGAUGAUCAUCUGAGAAGGGGAUUCCUCUCUGCAGUCAGGAACCAUAUGAGCUAACAAAUAUAAUGUUACGGAAAAACUUUGCUCACAGUCAUAGUUGGCUUGCUAUUAUGAAACCUGGUUAUACUAUUCAAUUUUCUUGGAGAAAGGUCUCAGUCUCACUGACUUUUUUUUUUUGACUUUUCCUACCCUCUGUUCAGAAACUUUCAUUAUUGUAUGCAUUAAACAUCACAUGUUGCAAAAUAAGCAUGUAUAUUAAAUUAAAAAUAAAUCAAUAAAUCAAUAGAACA
rnacentral:lncRNA from 1 species